UCAUAUGGAUUUUCCGGUUGAUCCUGCCGGAGGUUACUGCUAUCGGUGUUCGCCUAAGCCAUGCGAGUCAUAUGUAGCAAUACAUGGCGUACUGCUCAGUAACACGUGGAUAACCUGCCCUUGGGACCGGCAUAACCCCGGGAAACUGGGGAUAAUUCCGGAUAACGCAUAUUUGCUGGAAUGCUUUAUGCGUCAAAAGGAUUCGUCUGCCCAAGGAUGGGUCUGCGGCCUAUCAGGUAGUAGUGGGUGUAAUGUACCUACUAGCCAGCGACGGGUACGGGUUGUGAGAGCAAGAGCCCGGAGAUGGAUUCUGAGACAUGAAUCCAGGCCCUACGGGGCGCAGCAGGCGCGAAAACUUUACAAUGCGGGAAACCGUGAUAAGGGGACACCGAGUGCCAGCAUCAUAUGCUGGCUGUCCGGAUGUGUAAAAUACAUCCGUUAGCAAGGGCCGGGCAAGACCGGUGCCAGCCGCCGCGGUAACACCGGCGGCCCGAGUGGUGAUCGUGAUUAUUGGGUCUAAAGGGUCCGUAGCCGGUUUGGUCAGUCCUCCGGGAAAUCUGAUAGCUCAACUAUUAGGCUUUCGGGGGAUACUGCCAGACUUGGAACCGGGAGAGGUAAGAGGUACUACAGGGGUAGGAGUGAAAUCUUGUAAUCCCUGUGGGACCACCUGUGGCGAAGGCGUCUUACCAGAACGGGUUCGACGGUGAGGGACGAAAGCUGGGGGCACGAACCGGAUUAGAUACCCGGGUAGUCCCAGCCGUAAACGAUGCUCGCUAGGUGUCAGGCAUGGCGCGACCGUGUCUGGUGCCGCAGGGAAGCCGUGAAGCGAGCCACCUGGGAAGUACGGCCGCAAGG
rnacentral:rRNA from 1 species